AAAGCAAGCGUGUGAAUGUAAGCAAAUCCCAAAAAUAAACGUCUCAGUUCGGAUUGUAGUCUGCAACCCGGCUGCACGAAGCCGGAAUCGCUAGUAAUCGCAGAUCAGCAUGCCGCGGUGAAUACGUUCCCGGGUCUUGUACACACCGCCCGUCACACCAUGGGAGCCGGGAAUGCCCGAAGUCAGCGGCCUAACCGCAAGGAGGGAGCUGCCGAAGGCAGGCCUGGUGACUGGGGUGAAGUCGUAACAAGGUACC
rnacentral:rRNA from 1 species